rnacentral:rRNA from 1 species
UACGUAGGGUGCAAGCGUUGUCCGGAAUUAUUGGGCGUAAAGAGCUCGUAGGCGGCUUGUCGCGUCGAAUGUGAAAUCUCAGGGCUCAACUCUGACAUUGCAUUCGAUACGGGCAGGCUAGAGUUCGGUAGGGGAGACUGGAAUUCCUGGUGUAGCGGUGAAAUGCGCAGAUAUCAGGAGGAACACCGGUGGCGAAGGCGGGUCUCUGGGCCGAUAUUGACGCUGAGGAGCGAAAGCGUGGGGAGCGAACAGG